UUAAUUUUAGUUGCCUARGCUACUCUUUUCCUUAGAGAGAUGAGAAAUAAUGAUAAUGAAAAGCAGCUAGUAGGCUGUCUCUGGUGUUCCCUGCUUCUUUCAAUCAAGAUGUCCCAGGAGUUAUGCUGGUGAAGUUAGGCAUGAGUUUUGUCUGUGCAGUUUCAGACUUGUGGAUAUGAAGCACCGCUGGGGAACUCAUCAGCAAGGUCGGUUCAUGAUGACCCUGUUUCCCUGCUAGAGCAUGAAUGACCAAACACCAGAGYUCCCA